rnacentral:snoRNA from 1 species
UAACCAUGGUGGAGGCAAAGAUCUUACAAUCCCUUGUAUCUUUUCCAUGCUUGGUAUAAAAUUUUACUAUUCUUUUGGGCAAAUGAAGAAAUUUGUUUCUUUAGAGC